rnacentral:rRNA from 1 species
UGGGGAAUAUUGCACAAUGGGGGAAACCCUGAUGCAGCGACGCCGCGUGAACGAAGAAGGUAUUCGUAUCGUAAAGUUCUGUCCUAUGGGAAGAUAAUGACAGUACCAUAGAAGAAAGCUCCGGCUAAAUACGUGCCAGCAGCCGCGGUAAUACGUAUGGAGCGAGCGUUGUCCGGAAUUAUUGGGCGUAAAGGGUACGCAGGCGGUUUAAUAAGUCGAAUGUUAAAGAUCGGGGCUCAACCCCGCAAAGCAUUGGAAGCUGAUAAACUUGAGUAGUGGAGAGGAAAGUGGAAUUCCUAGUGUAGUGGUGAAAUACGUAGAUAUUAGGAGGAAUACCAGUAGCGAAGGCGACUUUCUGGACACAAACUGACGCUGAGGUACGAAAGCGUGGGGAGCAAACAGG